rnacentral:rRNA from 1 species
GUGCCAGCAGCCGCGGUAAUACGUAGGGGGCGAGCGUUGUCCGGAAUUAUUGGGCGUAAAGCGCGCGCAGGCGGUCUCUUAAGUCUGAUGUGAAAGCCCACGGCUCAACCGUGGAGGGUCAUUGGAAACUGGGGGACUUGAGGGCAGGAGAGGAGAGCGGAAUUCCACGUGUAGCGGUGAAAUGCGUAGAGAUGUGGAGGAACACCAGUGGCGAAGGCGGCUCUCUGGCCUGUACCUGACGCUGAGGCGCGAAAGCGUGGGGAGCAAACAGGAUUAGAUACCCUGGUAGUCCACGCCGUAAACGAUGAGUGCUAAGUGUUAGAGGGGUCACACCCUUUAGUGCUGCAGCUAACGCGAUAAGCACUCCGCCUGGGGAGUUACGGCCGCAAGCUGAAAACUCAAAGGAAUUGACGG